rnacentral:rRNA from 1 species
UACGUAGGGGGCAAGCGUUAUCCGGAUUUACUGGGUGUAAAGGGAGCGUAGACGGCGAUGCAAGCCAGAUGUGAAAGCCCGGGGCUCAACCCCGGGACUGCAUUUGGAACUGUAUAGCUAGAGUGUCGGAGAGGCAGGCGGAAUUCCUAGUGUAGCGGUGAAAUGCGUAGAUAUUAGGAGGAACACCAGUGGCGAAGGCGGCCUGCUGGACGAUGACUGACGUUGAGGCUUGAAAGCGUGGGGAGCAAACAGG